rnacentral:rRNA from 1 species
UACGAAGGGGGCUAGCGUUGUUCGGAAUUACUGGGCGUAAAGCGCACGUAGGCGGAAUGUUAAGUCAGGGGUGAAAUCCCGGGGCUCAACCCCGGAACUGCCUUUGAUACUGGCAUUCUCGAGUCCGGAAGAGGUGAGUGGAAUUCCGAGUGUAGAGGUGAAAUGCGCAGAUAUCAGGAAGAACACCCGUGGCUAAGGCGGCUCUCUAGUACGUGACUGACGCUGAGACGCGAAAGCGUGGGGAGCGAACAGG